AAUCAAAAGCUGGUGAACCUUUAGCACCUGCCAUAAGCACAGUUCAGCUGAUGAUAACCACCAGUCACUGCUCUCAGCAAGAGACCUGAUUCCACCCAUCACGCUUGGACUGAGAUAGGCUAGAAUCCAAAAAUGCAAAUGCCAACCAGAAGACUGCUGUUUUCUUCUUAACCCUUGUUAUCAGUGGGCUGUGGAUGCUUGGGGAGUAAAGCCUGGUGACAGCACUUUACAGAUGGGAAUGUGUUCAGGACAGAACAAGUUGAAGAAAGCAAAAGGGGAACUAUAAAAAGGCUUUGGAAGGCUACCAGGAUUGGGAGCAACCGGGAUGGGAGCAAUUUGGACUGCUGAGAGGAAGCAAGGGAACUCUGAAUGGGAGAGCCUUGCAAUGGGACAACAGCCAGCAGAGCACCUGAGCAGCAGAGCACUUUGGUAG
rnacentral:lncRNA from 1 species